UACGUAGGUCCCGAGCGUUGUCCGGAUUUAUUGGGCGUAAAGCGAGCGCAGGCGGUUCUUUAAGUCUGAAGUUAAAGGCAGUGGCUUAACCAUUGUACGCUUUGGAAACUGGAGGACUUGAGUGCAGAAGGGGAGAGUGGAAUUCCAUGUGUAGCGGUGAAAUGCGUAGAUAUAUGGGGGAACACCGGUGGCGAAAGCGACUCUCUGGUCUGUAACUGACGCUGAGGCUCGAAAGCGUGGGGAGCAAACAGG
rnacentral:rRNA from 1 species